rnacentral:rRNA from 1 species
UGGGGAAUCUUCCGCAAUGGGCGAAAGCCUGACGGAGCAAUGCCGCGUGAACGAAGAAGGCCUUCGGGUUGUAAAGUUCUGUCCUAGCCGAAGAGAGAGGAAGGGAGUAACUGCCCUGCCUAGGACGGUAGGCUAGGAGGAAGCCCCGGCUAACUACGUGCC